UAAAAAACAAAAACAAAAUCCCAGCCUGCACACCGCUCCCUUGCCCACUGCCCAGGUCACACCUGGGGCUCCGGCGAAGCUGAAUUCGGCUCGGGAGAUUUCCCUGUCGCCAGGGACUGAUGACUAGGCGAGAGACACCAAGGCGAGCCACUAGUUGCCCACAGGAACCUGUGUAAGCCGAGCUCUCAAGCGGCUGAGUUGAAUGAAGUUAUGACUGCGUUUGCUCUAAUGGGUUAUGGCUUCCCGAAUGUAAUAGGAGAAGAAAAGAAUCACGACGCACAACUUGGAAAGCCUUCUGAAAACAAGAAUGGGCAAUGAUUGCCAAGAACCUGAUGUUUAGCUCAUAUUUAAAAAGAACUCAAAGAAUCUUCAAUCUACCAAACCUAGUUUAGUUAUAAACAAUCAGAACUUCAAAAAGAAGCAAGCAGGAGAAAGCUUUGGGAAAGUCAUGAUUUAGUUUGCAAUAACCUCUGUGCGUUCCUGAUCCUGACAAGCAAGCAUGAGGCAGAAGAUCUGGACAUGACUUAACUCAAUUUCAGAAAACCAGACAACCUUAUAAUGAGGCUGAAGCAAGACCACACGGAAUACUGAGGAAGAACUGAAUGACUCUUUCUACACCAUCUUACAGACAAGAGAUGAAUAAGAGGAAGUAUGGGUAGCAAGUAAGAGAGAAGUGACGUUGUUAAUAUGAAAGCUUGACAGGAGAUUAAGAUGGGUCAAGAGCAUGUCAGGUCAGGACUUGCAAGAUGUACUUAAGUAAAUGUAAGUUCAUAUUAGGAAUUGGAAAAAAUGAGAAAUAAAAACACCAAG
rnacentral:lncRNA from 1 species